AUUGGUAGAGAUUGCAGCUUUCAAUUAAGUGCUGUGCUGUUUGUUGGACACCGCGCUCACAAAGGGGGCUAUCCAAGGUGUUCAUCUUGUGAAGUGAUGUUCUGAAGCACCUAUAUCCAGAUCUCAGUUUGCUCAGCUUGACCCACGCUUCUCUGUCAAGAUCAUGCCCAAUGGGGGAGCCAUUUGGUAUUGGUAUAAAAUGCUGGGUAGGGGAAAAGAGC